rnacentral:rRNA from 1 species
GACGAACGCUGGCGGCGUGCUUAACACAUGCAAGUCGAACGGAGAGGCCCUGCUUUUGUGGGGUGCUCGAGUGGCGAACGGGUGAGUAACACGUGAGUAACCUGCCCUUGACUUUGGGAUAACUUCAGGAAACUGGGGCUAAUACCGGAUAGGAGCUCCUGCUGCAUGGUGGGGGUUGGAAAGUUUCGGCGGUUGGGGAUGGACUCGCGGCUUAUCAGCUUGUUGGUGGGGUAGUGGCUUACCAAGGCUUUGACGGGUAGCCGGCCUGAGAGGGUGACCGGCAACAUUGGGACUGAGAUACGGCCCAGACUCCUACGGGAGGCAGAAGUGGGGAAUAUUGAAAAAUGGGCGGAAGCCUGAUGCAGCAACGCCGCGUGCGGGAUGACGGCCUUCGGGUUGUAAACCGCUUUCGCCUGUGACGAAGCGUGAGUGACGGUAAUGGGUAAAGAAGCACCGGCUAACUACGUG